AGAACCGACCCUACUGAACCGGGGAUACUAACCACCCGAACCACCAUGACCGUGUGCCCUUGUGGUACGCGGGGUGUGUGGGGAGCGUGGGACCUGAUCCGGGGAGGUAAACGUGUUAACAGGUGUGACGCAGGAAGGUAGCCGAGCCAGGCGAUGGUUGUCCUGGUCUAAGCAUGUAGGGUGACCCGUUGGUAAAUCCGCGGGUUGUGUGCCUGAGAUGUGAUGGGACUCUCUUAGGUGAGGGAAUUCGGUGAUCCUAUGCUGCCAAGAAAAGCAUCGACGUGAGGUUCUAGUCGCCCGUACCCCAAACCGACACAGGUGAUCAGGUAGAGAAUACUAAGGCGUUCGAGAGAAUCAUGGUUAAGGAACUCGGCAAAAUGCCCCCGUAACUUCGGGAGAAGGGGGGCCCUGUCUGGUGAGCACACGUGCUGUGUGAGCUGGGUGGGGUCGCAGAGGCUAGGGGGAAGCGACUGUUUAUCAAAAACACAGGUCCGUGCGAAGUCGUAAGACGAUGUAUACGGACUGACUCCUGCCCGGUGCUGGAAGGUUAAGAGGACCUGUUAGACCCUUGGGUCGAAGCGGAGAAUUUAAGCCCCAGUAAACGGCGGUGGUAACUAUAACCAUCCUAAGGUAGCGAAAUUCCUUGUCGGGUAAGUUCCGACCUGCACGAAUGGAGUAACGACUUCCCUACUGUCUCAACCAUGAACUCGGCGAAAUUGCAGUACGAGUAAAGAUGCUCGUUUCGCGCAGCAGGACGGAAAGACCCCGAGACCUUUACUAUAGUUUGGUAUUGGUGUUCGGUGUGGCUUGUGUAGGAUAGGUGGGAGACUGUGAAGCUAUCACGCUAGUGGUGGUGGAGUCGUUGUUGAAAUACCACUCUGGUCACUCUGGACAUCUAACUUCGGCCCGUGAUCCGGGUCAGGGACAGUGCCUGAUGGGUAGUUUAACUGGGGCGGUUGCCUCCUAAAGAGUAACGGAGGCGCCCAAAGGUUCCCUCAGCCUGGUCGGCAAUCAGGUGUUGAGUGUAAGUGCACAAGGGAGCUUGACUGUGAGAGUGAC
rnacentral:rRNA from 1 species